rnacentral:rRNA from 1 species
AUUGAACGCUGGCGGCAUGCUUUACACAUGCAAGUCGAACGGUAACAGGGUGCUUGCACCGCUGACGAGUGGCGAACGGGUGAGUAAUGCGUCGGAACGUGCCGAGUAGUGGGGGAUAACGCAGCGAAAGUUGUGCUAAUACCGCAUACGUACUGAGGUAGAAAGUGGGGGACCUUCGGGCCUCACGCUAUUCGAGCGGCCGACGUCUGAUUAGCUAGUAGGUGAGGUAAGAGCUCACCUAGGCGACGAUCAGUAGCGGGUCUGAGAGGAUGAUCCGCCACACUGGGACUGAGACACGGCCCAGACUCCUACGGGAGGCAGCAGUGGGGAAUUUUGGACAAUGGGCGCAAGCCUGAUCCAGCCAUGCCGCGUGUCUGAAGAAGGCCUUCGGGUUGUAAAGGACUUUUGUCAGGGAGGAAAUCCUAGUGGCUAAUAACUGCUGGGGAUGACAGUACCUGAAGAAUAAGCACCGGCUAACUACGUGCCAGCAGCCGCAGUAAUAC